GAGAGUUUGAUCCUGGCUCAGGAUGAACGCUGGCGGCGUGCCUAAUACAUGCAAGUCGAGCGAACGGACGAGAAGCUUGCUUCUCUGAUGUUAGCGGCGGACGGGUGAGUAACACGUGGAUAACCUACCUAUAAGACUGGGAUAACUUCGGGAAACCGGAGCUAAUACCGGAUAAUAUUUUGAACCGCAUGGUUCAAAAGUGAAAGACGGUCUUGCUGUCACUUAUAGAUGGAUCCGCGCUGCAUUAGCUAGUUGGUAAGGUAACGGCUUACCAAGGCAACGAUGCAUAGCCGACCUGAGAGGGUGAUCGGCCACACUGGAACUGAGACACGGUCCAGACUCCUACGGGAGGCAGCAGUAGGGAAUCUUCCGCAAUGGGCGAAAGCCUGACGGAGCAACGCCGCGUGAGUGAUGAAGGUCUUCGGAUCGUAAAACUCUGUUAUUAGGGAAGAACAUAUGUGUAAGUAACUGUGCACAUCUUGACGGUACCUAAUCAGAAAGCCACGGCUAACUACGUGCCAGCAGCCGCGGUAAUACGUAGGUGGCAAGCGUUAUCCGGAAUUAUUGGGCGUAAAGCGCGCGUAGGCGGUUUUUUAAGUCUGAUGUGAAAGCCCACGGCUCAACCGUGGAGGGUCAUUGGAAACUGGAAAACUUGAGUGCAGAAGAGGAAAGUGGAAUUCCAUGUGUAGCGGUGAAAUGCGCAGAGAUAUGGAGGAACACCAGUGGCGAAGGCGACUUUCUGGUCUGUAACUGACGCUGAUGUGCGAAAGCGUGGGGAUCAAACAGGAUUAGAUACCCUGGUAGUCCACGCCGUAAACGAUGAGUGCUAAGUGUUAGGGGGUUUCCGCCCCUUAGUGCUGCAGCUAACGCAUUAAGCACUCCGCCUGGGGAGUACGACCGCAAGGUUGAAACUCAAAGGAAUUGACGGGGACCCGCACAAGCGGUGGAGCAUGUGGUUUAAUUCGAAGCAACGCGAAGAACCUUACCAAAUCUUGACAUCCUUUGACAACUCUAGAGAUAGAGCCUUCCCCUUCGGGGGACAAAGUGACAGGUGGUGCAUGGUUGUCGUCAGCUCGUGUCGUGAGAUGUUGGGUUAAGUCCCGCAACGAGCGCAACCCUUAAGCUUAGUUGCCAUCAUUAAGUUGGGCACUCUAAGUUGACUGCCGGUGACAAACCGGAGGAAGGUGGGGAUGACGUCAAAUCAUCAUGCCCCUUAUGAUUUGGGCUACACACGUGCUACAAUGGACAAUACAAAGGGCAGCGAAACCGCGAGGUCAAGCAAAUCCCAUAAAGUUGUUCUCAGUUCGGAUUGUAGUCUGCAACUCGACUACAUGAAGCUGGAAUCGCUAGUAAUCGUAGAUCAGCAUGCUACGGUGAAUACGUUCCCGGGUCUUGUACACACCGCCCGUCACACCACGAGAGUUUGUAACACCCGAAGCCGGUGGAGUAACCUUUUAGGAGCUAGCCGUCGAAGGUGGGACAAAUGAUUGGGGUGAAGUCGUAACAAGGUAGCCGUAUCGGAAGGUGCGGCUGGAUCACCUCCUUUCUAAGGAUA
rnacentral:rRNA from 1 species